AAGCAAAUCUUAAGGGAGUUAAUGUGAUUGCAAAGGUGGUUUCUCAGGGAAAUGGUCACCUAUCAUACUCUAGAUAUACGGAUUCCUGUGAUUUCCGCAAAUGUCAGAAAUUCAAUUCCAUAAUUUUUGAUUAGUAGGGAAGCUCACUCUCGUUUGUCCCUAA